CGGAAGAUGUAACGGGGCUAAGUAGUAAACCGAAGCUGCGGCAAUGUGCUUUUGCACAUUGGGUAGGGGAGCGUUCUGUAAGCGGUUGAAGGUGUGUGGUAACGCAUGCUGGACGUAUCAGAAGUGCGAAUGCUGACAUGAGUAACGAUAAAGGGGGUGAAAAACCUCCUCGCCGGAAGACCAAGGGUUCCUGUCCAACGUUAAUCGGGGCAGGGUAAGUCGACCCCUAAGGCGAGGCCGAAAGGCGUAGUCGAUGGGAAACGGGUUAAUAUUCCCGUACUUCUUACAAUUGCGAUGGGGGGACGGAGAAGGCUAGGUGGGCCUGGCGACGGUUGUCCAGGUUCAAGUGCGUAGGCUUAAGAGUUAGGUAAAUCCGGCUCUUUUUAAGGCUGAGACACGACGUCGAGCACCUACGGGUGUGAAGUCAUUGAUGCCAUGCUUCCAGGAAAAGCCUCUAAGCUUCAGAUUGUAAGGAAUCGUACCCCAAACCGACACAGGUGGUCGGGUAGAGAAUACCAAGGCGCUUGAGAGAACUCGGGUGAAGGAACUAGGCAAAAUGGUACCGUAACUUCGGGAGAAGGUACGCUCUUGAUGGUGAAGUCCCUCGCGGAUGGAGCUGACGAGAGUCGCAGAUACCAGGUGGCUGCAACUGUUUAUUAAAAACACAGCACUGUGCAAAAUCGUAAGAUGACGUAUACGGUGUGACGCCUGCCCGGUGCCGGAAGGUUAAUUGAUGGGGUUAGACUUCGGUCGAAGCUCUUGAUCGAAGCCCCGGUAAACGGCGGCCGUAACUAUAACGGUCCUAAGGUAGCGAAAUUCCUUGUCGGGUAAGUUCCGACCUGCACGAAUGGCGUAAUGAUGGCCACGCUGUCUCCACCCGAGACUCAGUGAAAUUGAAAUCGCUGUGAAGAUGCAGUGUACCCGCGGCUAGACGGAAAGACCCCGUGAACCUUUACUACAGCUUGGCACUGAACAUUGACCCUACAUGUGUAGGAUAGGUGGGAGGCUUUGAAGACGGUACGCCAGUAUCGU
rnacentral:rRNA from 1 species